AUACGGGGGGUGCAAGCGUUGUUCGGAAUCACUGGGCGUAAAGCGCGUGCAGGCGGCCCAUUAAGUCAGAUGUGAAAGCCCUCGGCUCAACCAAGGAACUGCAUCUGAAACUACUGGGCUUGAGUACGGGAGAGGAGAGUGGAAUUCCCGGUGUAGAGGUGAAAUUCGUAGAUAUCGGGAAGAACACCGGUGGCGAAGGCGGCUCUCUGGACCGAUACUGACGCUGAGACGCGAAAGCGUGGGGAGCAAACAGGAUUAGAUACCCCAGUAGUCC
rnacentral:rRNA from 1 species